rnacentral:misc_RNA from 1 species
GAAAUGCGAUAACUAGUGUGAAUUGCAGAAUUCCGUGAAUCAUCGAGUCUUUGAACGCACAUUGCGCCCCCUGGUAUUCCGGGGGGCAUGCCUGUCCGAGCGUCAUUGCUGCCCAUCAAGCACGGCUUGUGUGUUGGGUCGUCGUCCCCUCUCCGGGGGGGGGCGGGCCCCAAAGGCAGCGGCGGCACCGCGUCCGAUCCUCGAGCGUAUGGGGCUUUGUCACCCGCUCUGUAGGCCCGGCCGGCGCUUGCCGAACGCAAAUCAAUCUUUUUCCAGGUUGACCUCGGAUCAGGUAGGGAUACCCGCUGAACUUAAGC